GACGAACGCUGGCGGCGUGCUUAACACAUGCAAGUCGAACGGAAAGGCCCUGCUUGCAGGGUACUCGAGUGGCGAACGGGUGAGUAACACGUGGGUGAUCUGCCCUGCACUUCGGGAUAAGCCUGGGAAACUGGGUCUAAUACCGGAUAGGAGCCAUUUUUAGUGUGAUGGUUGGAAAGUUUUUUCGGUGUAGGAUGAGCUCGCGGCCUAUCAGCUUGUUGGUGGGGUAAUGGCCUACCAAGGCGGCGACGGGUAGCCGGCCUGAGAGGGUGGACGGCCACAUUGGGACUGAGAUACGGCCCAGACUCCUACGGGAGGCAGCAGUGGGGAAUAUUGCACAAUGGGCGCAAGCCUGAUGCAGCGACGCCGCGUGGGGGAUGACGGCCUUCGGGUUGUAAACUCCUUUCGCCAGGGACGAAGCUUUUGUGACGGUACCUAGAUAAGAAGCACCGGCUAACUACGUG
rnacentral:rRNA from 1 species